UACGGUAGGUGGCAAGCGUUGUCCGGAUUUACUGGGCGUAAAGAGCGCGCAGGCGGCUGGUCAAGUCCGAUGUGAAAUCUCCCGGCUUAACUGGGAAACUGCAUCGGAAACUGAUCGGCUUGAAGGUGGGAGAGGGUAGUGGAAUUCCGCGUGUAGCAGUGAAAUGCGUAGAGAUGCGGAGGAACACCGAUGGCGAAGGCAGCCCCCUGGGCUAGCACUGACGCU
rnacentral:rRNA from 1 species